rnacentral:rRNA from 1 species
GAAGAAAGCUUGCUUUCUUUGCUGGCGACCGGCGCACGGGUGAGUAACACGUAUCCAACCUGCCCUUUACUCGGGGAUAGCCUUUCGAAAGAAAGAUUAAUACCCGAUAGCAUAAUGAUUCCGCAUGGUUUCAUUAUUAAAGGAUUCCGGUAAAGGAUGGGGAUGCGUUCCAUUAGGUUGUUGGUGAGGUAACGGCCCACCAAGCCUUCGAUAGAUAGGGGUUCUGAGAGGAAGGUCCCCCACAUUGGAACUGAGACACGGUCCAAACUCCUACGGGAGGCAGCAGUGAGGAAUAUUGGUCAAUGGACGAGAGUCUGAACCAGCCAAGUAGCGUGAAGGAUGACUGCCCUAUGGGUUGUAAACUUCUUUUAUAUGGGAAUAAAGUAUUCCACGUGUGGGAUUUUGUAUGUACCAUAUGAAUAAGGAUCGGCUAACUCCGUGCCAGCAGCCGCGGUAAUACGGAGGAUCCGAGCGUUAUCCGGAUUUAUUGGGUUUAAAGGGAGCGUAGGUGGAUUGUUAAGUCAGUUGUGAAAGUUUGCGGCUCAACCGUAAAAUUGCAGUUGAAACUGGCAGUCUUGAGUACAGUAGAGGUGGGCGGAAUUCGUGGUGUAGCGGUGAAAUGCUUAGAUAUCACGAAGAACUCCGAUUGCGAAGG